AAAGUCUAAACGACUCUCGGCAACGGAUAUCUCGGCUCUCGCAUCGAUGAAGAACGUAGCGAAAUGCGAUACUUGGUGUGAAUUGCAGAAUCCCGUGAACCAUCGAGUCUUUGAACGCAAGUUGCGCCCGAAGCCUCGGCUGAGGGCACGUCUGCCUGGGU
rnacentral:rRNA from 2 species